AUGAAACACCAUUUCCUGCCUGAUCACCGAAGUUAAGCAAUGUCGAUCCCCUGAUCAGUACCUAGAUGGGUGACUGCUUGGGAAAACCAGGUGCUGUAA